rnacentral:lncRNA from 1 species
CACAUUUUGUUAUUUCCCACAGUAUUUCAAACUUUUCAUUAUUAUAUUUGUUAUGGUGAUCUGUUUGUUUUGCAAAGAGUUUACAACUCAUGGAAGGUUCAGGUGAUGCUUAGUAUUUUUUAGCAAUACAAAUUUUAAAUUAAGCUCUAUAUAUUCUUUUUAGGACAUAACACUAUUACACAUUUAAUAGACUACAGGAUACUAUAACUUUUAUAUGUGCUUGGAAACCAAAAAAAUUCAUGUGACUUGCUUUAUUGUUACAUUUGCUUUAUUGUAGUGGUCUGGAACCAAACCCACAAUAUCCCGGAGAUCUGCCUAUAUAUUCAAAUUCUGGGUCUGCCACUAACCAGUGUAGUGGUCUGGGACAAGUUACUCUACUUUUCUGAGUCCAUGUUUCCUCUUCUAGGAAAAAGAGAUAAUGAAAGGCCCUCUAGAUAGGGUUGUUGAAACAAUUAAAUUAAAUGAGAUAAAAUUGACUUUUGCCCAAACCUGUUCUUUCCAUCUCCAUGUAUGGUACCACCUCCCAUCUAGUGUAGUGGCUCAAGACAAAACUCUGAAGAGUUAUCUCUGAUUUUUUUUUUUUUUGUCUUUGCUUGGAUCCCAGAUGCAUCAAUAAGUCCAGAUGAUUCUAACUCUGAACCACAUCCUGAAUGUGCCUGCUUAGGUUUCUCUCAUUUGCCAUCAUCCUAGACCAAGACGCACUCCUAUCUUCCCUGGUCAACUGCAAUGGCACCCACCCUGGGUUUCCUGCCUUCCUCUUUCUCCCUACAACCCAUUCUUCACAAAACAGCCAUUUAUCAUCGCUUAGUGUAAUUCAAUUAUGUGUAACUCCUUGGACUAAAUCUACUCAAGAGUUUCCCUGGGCAUUUAGAAUAAAACCCACACUGCUUGCCUCUCUGAUCUUGCCCCAGCCUAUUUCUCCAUGGCCAUUCCCCUCACCCUGCCAUGCCUGGGAAGAUGGGGAGGAGCCAUGUACUCUAUUCUCAUCCUUCUGUAACAGCCCAGCCAUGGAUAUCGGUGGUAGAGUGAACUCUCCUGUCCCUGAACUAGGGCUUGGAUGUAGCUUUGGUCAGUGGCAAGUUAGUACUUAUGAGGUGGACAGAGCCCUGAAAUUCUGUGUGCCAUCUGACAUAGCCUCUUAUGCUUCCGUGAUCUGCCAGGAGAAUGUGCCUGGGUUGCUGCUUGUCCCAGGAGAGUCAGGGAAGAAGCAGCACAUCUGAGUCUAACUCAGAUUCUGGAGUCACACCUGGAUUAGCAGCGGCCAGAAGCAGAGUCAUUGCAGAAGACCCCAGAGCUGAGGCAACAAAAAUUAGUGCCUGCUGUUAUAAGCUGCUGAGUUUUGUGGUGGCGUUGGAGUAUUACUGCAGCAAGAGCUAAUUAAUGUGCUUAAGCCCUUCCUUUUCCUCUUGUUACCUGCAAUUUUCUUGCUGUUUCCCUCUGUGUGAAGCUAUUCUCUCCGUCUGGAUCAGAGUUUCUCAACCUGGCACUAUUGAAAUCUGGAACUGGAUAUUUGCUGUGGGGGAAUGGCCUCUGGUUGAAAACCAAGAUUCUGGAAUGUAUGUCUCCAUAUCUUCCCAGGCACAGCUCCUUCUACUCAGUCAGGCUCUACCUCUGACAUCCACACCUGAUCAUCCAUCAUCUUACUCAUUUAUUUCUUGACCUAUUUUUCUGCCUCUUCCUCUUGCCAUCACUGUGGAUCCUGGCACAUGGCAGGCACCCUAUCAGCCUCUCUAACGAAUGAAAGGUUGGAAAACACCCUGUCAACUGUGUUGACUCUAAAGCUUUAUAGUAACUGAUUAUAAAAAUAAGAAAAGAUAGAAAAAAGUCAUCAGCAGCAGAUCCACCCAGAAUUUAGCAGCUGGUAAAUUUCUGAUGCUAUAAUUUCCCUUCUGCAGCUGCUGCCCUCUGAGCUUUGGACAGAAUUCUGGAGCCCGAGCUGGGUUUGAUUGACUAAGAAAGAAAGAACCCUCAGUGGUCUUAGGAUAUCUUUAGAAUGAAUUUCAACAGCAAAAGAGUUCAGUGGAUGUGAUUUAAUUUGUUUGCCCCAAACAGCUGUGCCCCCUACUGAUAUCUCUGGCUCUGUUUGCGCAUAUAACCUUCAAAUAGCCAUGAGUUAAUAGGUGGGGGAGAGGCGGAAGCAUGUUAAAGUAGACGAAGAGUGCUGCCAACCUGUUUCUUAAUAACUAAUUAUACACAAAAUUUAUCUUCUCCCUCCACGCCUCCUCUUCCUUAAUAAGUUGACAACGUCAGUCUUUCCACUGGUGUCAGCCCAUCACAGGGAGAUUCUUUUUCUCAAAUAAAGACAUCAGCUAAACACAAAAGCAGCAACAUCAAAGUGUUUGGUGAGGCUUUUGGUGGUUCAGCAGGGAGAAAAGGGGAGGCAGAUGGGACUGGUCCCCAGUGCCCAAAUCAAACUUUUGAUCUGCAAGCUGGUGAGAUAAGAAGGGGCCCUUGCUGUCUAGGAGGGUAGCAGUGGAUGGGAUCUGGGGCUAGGAAGAGGGGAUGAAAACAAAGAUGAUGGUUGACAUGGU